AGUUAGUUUUUCCCUCCCAGCCGUAAAGCCUGGCCACUCGAUACAGCUGGUGGAGAUUGGACUGCAGGGCUUGGUGAAUGUUUCAAUGGGAAACAAUUCCGAAGAGGCGAAUGUCAACAGCAACUAUUUGGUUCUAACCCCAGGCUAUCAUAUCUACGGUUUCCAAUAUGUUCGUGUCAGCAGUGGCUGGAGAUCACCUAUCGGUGCCAAAUUCUCAGUGGGUACUCCCCCUGAGGGGAAGUGUGGUGUCAUCCCAACUAUCAGUCACGGGGAAUAUCAAGUAGUCGAUGCGGGUGUUGGAAACGUAGCUACGUAUCACUGUAGCCCAGGCUAUCACAUGAUGGGAUCUGGUCUGGUGAUCUGCCAAGAAAAUGGACAAUGGUCUGAAGCCCCUUCAUGUGUUGCCUACUGCCAACCAUGGCGUAUCCCUAAUGGUCGUAUUGAACAGCUAUUACCUCCCCCUUUUGGUCCUCCUGUCAGUGCUUUUCCUCUUGCCGAAGUUGAUCCAGAGUGUGACGAAGGUUAUGUAAGUAUGGGAAAAGCAACUUGCUCGGGAGAUGGGGGAGAAUGGGAAUAUGAAACACCAUUGUGUGAGACCGCGAAAAA